AUUAUUUCUCUCUGUCAAUGCAGGCCAAAGAACCUCGAUUAAACUUCAAAGACAAGUAUUCUGAGUCAUACAGAGAUGCUCACCCCAACACACCUGUAGUUGUCCCUUGGAUCUCAGGUGUUGUUGGGGCAUAGCAGCCUCAGUAUGGUUUUGCAAAUGUAGUGGCAGAUCCUUGUAAGAGGAUCCAGGGUGGUGAAUUAUGCUGUGGAUCUCAACAUAAUCUGUAGACUAUCACCAUGCCCAUCAUGAUGAUACGGAACGAGACAUGUCCAUCACACCCUCCUGCCGAGUUUUCUCUGCAUUUGGAGCAGCAGAACAUUUUGGGUUGCAUUCCUUAUGUCAAUGAUAAACCUUCUUAAGAUGAUAUCAUGAUGUUUAACCAAAAUGUUUCACAGAUUUAUGUUGUGGGAUCCCCAAUCCCCUCGUUGAACUCUGCAAACUAGAAAUAUUCUUGCUUUACAUUCAAGAAAUGGAAUAUUUGUAGUCAUUUACCUCA